rnacentral:ncRNA from 2 species
UAAAUAGAUGGUGAUGGAGUUCACCGAUAAAUCUGUAUAGAUACAGUAAUGACUCCUGUUAUAUU